rnacentral:lncRNA from 1 species
UGUUACAUCUCCUCCAACCCUUCUACUGCUACUGUUUAUAGUGUUACAUCUCCUCCAACCCUUCUACUGUUUAUAGUGAUACAUCUCCUCCAACUCUUCUACUGCUUACUGUUUAUACUGUUACAUCUCCUCCAACCCUUCUACUGCUUCUGUGUUAUAGGUUACAUCUCCUCCAACCCUUCUAUUUAUAGUGAUACAUCUCCUCCAACCCUUCUACUGCUACUGUUUAUUAGUGUUACAUCUCCUCAAACCCUUCUACUGCUACUGUUUUUUAGUGUUACAUCUCCUCCAACCCUUCUACUGUUUAUAGUGAUACAUCUCCUCCAACCUUCUACUGUUUAUAGUGAUACAUCUCCUCCAACCCUUCUACUGUUUAUAGUGUUACAUCUCCUCCAACCUUCUACUGUUAUAGUGUUACAUCUCCUCCAACCCUUCUACGUUUAUAGUGAUACAUCUCCUCCAACCCUUCUACUGUUUCAUAGAUACAUCUCCUCCAACCCUUCUACUGUUUAUAGAGUUACAUCUCCUCCAACCCUUCUACUGUUUAUUGUGUUACAUCUCCUCCAACCCUUCUACUGCUAUGUUUAUAGUGUUACAUCUCCUCCAACCCUUCUACUGUUUAUAGUGAUACAUAUCCUCCAACCCUUCUACUGGCUACUGUUUAUAGUGUUACAUCUCUCCAACCCUUCUACUGUUUAUAGUGUUACAUCUCCUCCAACCCUUCUACUGUUAUAGUGAUACAUCUCCUCCAACCCUUCUACUGUUUAUAGUGAUACAUCUCCUCCAACCCUUCUACUGUUUAUAGUGUUACAUCUCCAGCCCUUUCUUGUUAUAGUGUUACAUCUCCUCCAACCCUUUCUACUGCCACUGUUUAUAGUGUUACAUCUCCUCCAACCCUUCUACUGUUUCAUGAUACAUCUCCUCCAACCCUUCUACUGUUUAUAGAGUUACAUCUCCUCCAACCUUCUACUGUUUAUAGUGUUACAUCUCCUCCAACCCUUCUAC